rnacentral:lncRNA from 1 species
CAGAGACACGGCCGAUAGUGAGAGGGGUCCACUGAGAAAGCAAAAAGCAUGAGUGGACUUCAAUCCACAGGGUGUUUAAGAAAUAGAACUACACCUGAUACUUGUAAACUCUACCUGGACUUGUAUCUUGUCAACUUUGGAAGUCUUUCUGUUUGCCCAAAAGACAGGAUAAAAGCUUUACCCAGAUAGGAUGCUUAAGCAUUAAGAGGGAAAAAUACAUGACUUUGCUUUAAAGUGAGAUGAAGAAGCAAUCGUCUGCUGUCUUCCUGCCUGGGGAUGUAGAU